CGUGCCCAAAAACACAGUGAUAGUGAGAUACUGGUCACCAAUAACGUCAUAAUAAAAUUUUCCUCCGCACUGUUUCUCCAUCAUCUCCAUUUUCCAAGAAAAAGAUAGGUGGUUUCACUGAAUGAGUAAAAUAUAUCGACGCAAUCACUGAAGCAUUUUUCAUUAAGAAGUGGUUGACUUAUGUCUAACAAUGUUAAUCCUUCUUCCAAUUUUCUCUUACCCAUCUGUCUUUACUCGUGGCCUAAAACCCUCAGCAAGUUCACCUCCCAAACGUCUCAUAAAUAUUACAUUUCCUGCACCAUUUUUACAAUCUUCCGAAUGAAUUAUUUGUCACUUGAUUCGUGAGUCCACACUACAUCGUUCAGAUUCUGCAAAAAUAAUGAAUCGACUUUAUCAAUCGAAAAUAUUACUCUUUUCAAUUGCUAAUUAUCUAAAAGAAAACUUAGAAUGAAACGAACAAAACACAUUCACAACAAAAAAAAAUUCAAAAAACACAAUCAAACGCAUAAAAUUGGGAAAAAUGAGAAGAGCCCUUUUGAAAUCACCUUGUAUCAUUGUCUAUAUGAGCAUCCAAAUCAGCGGAGGCACGUCGAGAGAAGUCUCCCAAAUUGUUCAAAGCUCAUGCUUUUCACUUAUAGACAAAAUAAUAUCUAAAAGAACAAAUAAAAAAGCAACAUCUUAAUCUGAAAACUCACAUACAUAUAUAUGUUGUCUGUUAUCUUAUGAUCACACAGACUAUGGUGGUUUGGUUGGCUUUAUCGUUUAGGAGUAGAGGGAUAUUGGCAGCGAAUUUUUUUUAAUGGUAUAACAUAGUUUUGGAAUUUUUGAGUGCAUAUAUCUAUAUUGUAAACGUAAAACUUCAAGUAAUAUUUACACACACAAUUUUAUAACUUCUAAGCUUGAAAAACAAGAUGCUUGUAUAAAACAAUGUAGAAAAAUGGUAGGUUAAAAAAAGUCAAAAGACUGAAUUCUAGCAAAUUUUCUUUCACAAUUAGCUAAUUCAGCGAGACAAUAAACUUGACACAUAGGUGCUUAUAAAUUAACAUUUAAGGAAAUCUAAACACCAAACAUGUAUGUAGUGAGAAAUGCUAAGACAAAUCCAAGGAAAUAUUAAAAAAUGUACAACAUUCGAAAUAUGAAGUAUAAUUCACUUUUGAAACCAAUAUUUGAUCAAACCUUAUUAUAUGAUCAAGCACCAUACCCAAUCGACUUCUCCUUGUGUCAAAAUCAUGUGAAACUGCUGAAGAAAAGACACCAAAAAUUCAAGCGAAAAUGCUAACAAUUAUAAAUGGAGACAAUGGACCAACAUCACUAUUACACCUGAAAAAUAUAUUAUAAUCAUGUUCAUUAAAAUUCCUUUGAAAGGGAUAGAAAAACUGAUACGGCUUCAAAUUGGAGAAGAUGGAAAUUAAAUUGAUACAACUUCACCACAAUAACGCAAAGAUAUUCUUCAGCAAUAUGCCUCCUAAAUUCAACAAACCAACUAUCCAUCAGAACCCAAACUACAAUUCUCCUAAAGGCCUCUAACAGAUAAAGGUAUAAAACCUAUUCAACAUUCAAAUGAUAAUAUAAAAAAACCAACUGGCAAUCCGAGAGAACGUAAAGGAAAGGAGAUUCUGAUCAGAAAUUCAAUCCACAAUUAUGAUGAUAUCAAAUUCAAUCGAGCAAGAGAAAAAUGAAAUAUAACAUCACUCCAUCAAUAAAGCCAUUUUUCUUGACUAAAUUAAAUAAAUAGCGCGUGAAAUCAUACAUUUAUAUUUCGAAAAAAUUCAAUCAAGCCAUAGAAAAAUGAGAUAUAUCAUCAAUCUACCGACAAAAGGGCUUUUUUUGCUGAAUGAAUACACAUAGCGCAUGAAAAACAUCGAGAAAAUUCAAUCGAGGCAGAGAAAAAUGAGAUAUAACAUCAAUCUCCCGACUAAAAGCAAUUUGUUUUGGCUGACAGAAUAAAGAAACAGCGCAGGAAAAACAUACGUAUGACUCGGAUCUCAGUUUCAAAAAAUACUUUUACAAAUCUCCCCGAGUUCCUUACAAAAAAAUCCAAAUUUAAUUAGUACUAUAAUCAGAUAUUUAAGAAUUUGCUAAAUAUUAUCAAAUUACACAAAAAUUGUGCAGUCUUUCUAACAUUAUUUUCCCCCAAAUCGGUUAAAGAGAAAAGAACAAAUUCUCCGAGAAAUGAGAGAUUUAGAGGGUAGAGUUCUCUGGUGGAGAGGACAUCAAGAGAUGGGAAAGAAUUUAACCUUAGUGAUAACUCUUUUUUCUCGGCGGCAUGUUGAUAAUCACCAUAUGUGUGCUCUUGAAUCUGGU
rnacentral:lncRNA from 1 species